rnacentral:rRNA from 1 species
UCAACUUCCUGCGGAGGACGCGCUCUGGGCUUAACGGUCUGGACGUGGAGUCCGCGUGGUUACUUUGAAAAAAUUAGAGUGUUCAAAGCGGUCUUACGCUUGAAUAUUUCAUCAUGGAAUAACACUAUAGGACUCCUGUCCUAUUUCGUUGGUCUCGGGACGGGAGUAAUGAUUAAGAGGAACAGUUGGGGGCAUUCGUAUUUCAUUGUCAGAGGUGAAAUUCUUGGAUUUAUGAAAGACGAACUUCUGCGAAAGUAUUUGCCAAGGAUGUUUUCAUUAAUCAAGAACGAAAGUUGGGGGCUCGAAUAUGAUUUAGAUACCAUCCUAUUCUCAACCA